rnacentral:rRNA from 1 species
UACAGAGGUCUCAAGCGUUGUUCGGAUUCAUUGGGCGUAGAGGGCGCGUAGGCUGCGGGGCAAGUCGGGUGUGAAAUCUCAGAGCUCAACUCUGAAACUGCACUCGAUACUGCUUUGCUCGAGGACUGGAGAGGAGAUUGGAAUUCACGGUGUAGCAGUGAAAUGCGUAGAUAUCGUGAGGAAGACCAGUGGCGAAGGCGGAUCUCUGGACAGUUCCUGACGCUGAGGCGCGAAGGCCAGGGGAGCAAACGGG